UACGGAGGGUGCAAGCGUUAUCCGGAUUCACUGGGUUUAAAGGGUGCGUAGGCGGGUAAGUAAGUCCGUGGUGAAAUCUCUGAGCUUAACUCAGAAACUGCCGUGGAUACUAUUUGCCUUGAAUAUUGUGGAGGUGAGCGGAAUAUGUCAUGUAGCGGUGAAAUGCGCAGAUAUCGGGAAGAACACCCGUGGCGAAGGCGGCUCUCUGGAACGCAACUGACGCUGAGACGCGAAAGCGUGGGGAGCAAACAGG
rnacentral:rRNA from 1 species